AAAACACUAGCGAACGCUGGCGGCAGGCUUAACACAUGCAAGUCGAACGGGCUCUUCGGAGCUAGUGGCAGACGGGUGAGUAACGCGUGGGAACGUGCCUUUCGGUUCGGAAUAACUCAGGGAAACUUGAACUAAUACCGGAUACGCCCUUCGGGGGAAAGAUUUAUCGCCGAAAGAUCGGCCCGCGUCUGAUUAGCUAGUUGGUGAGGUAAUGGCUCACCAAGGCGACGAUCAGUAGCUGGUCUGAGAGGAUGAUCAGCCACAUUGGGACUGAGACACGGCCCAA
rnacentral:rRNA from 1 species